UGCUUUGCAGCAGCUGAGCUAGUAGCACACAUGAUAUCUUAAAUGUAACAAUCAAAGGAGCAUGCAAGAUUUUGGAAUUUCCGCUGACUUGCAGAUGUGCAUGCCCAGCUCCAAUAGAUCUAAUACCUACUUUAAACAAAAGCAGCUCAAACAUAAUAACAUCUUAUUGCCAUGUGUCAACACUCAAAAGUGUUUGGGGAGAAAGAAGCCAGAAUUAGUAACAAUGAGGAACAAGAAGCAAAGUCUGCAAGUGGUUCAUGUUUACACUAGAUGGCAGAGAAGCUGUGCACCCUGGGAGCUGGGAGUGGCUUACGCCAAUAUCAGUUUGGAAAAGCUGGUUAUGACCAUAUACGUACUGUAUCUUUCCCAUGUCUGGUAUUAAUAAACUCAAGAGGACCACCUGUCAUGCAACUACAGCCCUCCGAGGAUUUUUGUGUGGCCCUUAGAACCGACCAGUAGAAAGCAGAAAUCAGAC